rnacentral:tRNA from 1 species
GGGGCCGCAUAGAGACUGGGAUGUUUGACUAUAAAUUAUUCCCCUGCUAAGGGAGUAUGGGGUGUAGAGCCUCAUCGAGGGUUCGAAUCCCUCUCGCUCCGCCA